rnacentral:rRNA from 1 species
AUUGAACGCUGGCGGCAGGCCUAACACAUGCAAGUCGAACGAGUGGCGGACGGGUGAGUAAUGUCUGGGAAACUGCCCGAUGGAGGGGGAUAACUACUGGAAACGGUAGCUAAUACCGCAUACCAUCGGCUAGGCCGAGAUGGGAUGAGCUAGUGGGUGGGGUAACGGCUCACCAAGGCGACGAUCCCUAGCUGGUCUGAGAGGAUGACCAGCCACACGGGAACUGAGACACGGUCCAGACUCCUACGGGAGGCAGCAGUGGGGAAUAUUGGACAAUGGGCGAAAGCCUGAUGCAGCCAUGCCGCGUGUAUGAAGAAGGCCUUCGGGUUGUAAAGUACUUUCAGCGGGGAGGCGUUACCCGCAGAAGAAGCACCGGCUAACUCCGUGCCAGCAGCCGCGGUAAUUC